rnacentral:rRNA from 1 species
CAGCCGCCACGGGAAUACAGAGGGUGCGAGCGUUAAUCGGAUUUACUGGGCGUAAAGCGUGCGUAGGCGGCUUCUUAAGUCGGAUGUGAAAUCCCUGAGCUUAACUUAGGAAUUGCAUUCGAUACUGGGAAGCUAGAGUAUGGGAGAGGAUGGUAGAAUUCCAGGUGUAGCGGUGAAAUGCGUAGAGAUCUGGAGGAAUACCGAUGGCGAAGGCAGCCAUCUGGCCUAAUACUGACGCUGAGGUACGAAAGCAUGGGGAGCAGACAGGAUUAGAUACCCCCGUAGUCCCUGUCUCUUAUAC